rnacentral:rRNA from 1 species
CUGCCAGUAGUCAUAUGCUUGUCUCAAAGAUUAAGCCAUGCAUGUCUCAGUACAAGCCGCAUUAAGGUGAAACCGCGAAAGGCUCAUUAAAUCAGUUAUGGUUCCUUAGAUCGUACCCACAUUUACUUGGAUAACUGUGGUAAUUCUAGAGCUAAUACAUGCAAACAGAGUUCCGACCGGAGACGGGAGGAAUGCUUUUAUUAGAUCAAAACCAAUCGGCGGCGGGCGCGUCCGCGCGCCCGUUCGCCGCUCAACCUGGUGACUCUGAAUAACUUUCGGCUGAUCGCACGGUCCCGCACCGGCGACGCAUCUUUCAAAUGUCUGCCUUAUCAACUGUCGAUGGUAGGUUCUGCGCCUACCAUGGUCGUAACGGGUAACGGGGAAUCAGGGUUCGAUUCCGGAGAGGGAGCCUGAGAAACGGCUACCACAUCCAAGGAAGGCAGCAGGCGCGCAAAUUACCCACUCCCGGCACGGGGAGGUAGUGACGAAAAAUAACGAUACGGGACUCAU